CCAACAGCCACAAAACGUGCUUCUGUCUUGGCUGGAGGAGGUGAGACCUGCAAAGGUGAUGCCAAAGAAUAAGAAACAGUAGGACUUGCUCCCACACUUGGCCACCUUUUCUCAGCAGGCACUGCACUUUGCUGAGGUUUUGCCCACUCCAACUUUGGUUGUAUUCUCUUUAAAGGCUGCAGAUUUUUACUCCCAGACUCUGGAGAUCCUGCUACGGGAACCACUGUCUUUGUGUAAUUAAAAUCUUUGUCAUCUCUUUUUUGUUGUAUCAUAGAAGGUGGAUUGGAUUUCUGUUGUUGUUGUCUCA
rnacentral:misc_RNA from 1 species